rnacentral:rRNA from 1 species
UACGUAGGUCCCGAGCGUUGUCCGGAUUUAUUGGGCGUAAAGCGAGCGCAGGUGGUUUAUUAAGUCUGGUGUAAAAGGCAGUGGCUCAACCAUUGUAUGCAUUGGAAACUGGUAGACUUGAGUGCAGGAGAGGAGAGUGGAAUUCCAUGUGUAGCGGUGAAAUGCGUAGAUAUAUGGAGGAACACCGGUGGCGAAAGCGGCUCUCUGGCCUGUAACUGACACUGAGGCUCGAAAGUGUGGGGAGCAAACAGG